GUGCAUGUGACUUAGUGGUAGAGUGCUUGCCUGGCAUGUUCAUGGCCCUGAGUUUGAUCCUCAGCAUCACA
rfam:Ictidomys tridecemlineatus contig029381, whole genome shotgun sequence.